UACGGGGGGAGCAAGCGUUGUUCGGAUUUACUGGGCGUAAAGCGUGCGCAGGCGGUUGUGCAAGACAGAUGUGAAAUCCCCGGGCUUAACUUGGGAAUUGCGCUCGAAACUACGUGGCUGGAGUGUGGCAGAGGAAGGUGGAAUUCCACGUGUAGCGGUGAAAUGCGUAGAGAUGUGGAGGAACACCAAUGGCGAAGGCAGCCUUCUGGGCCAACACUGACGCUCAUGCACGAAAGCGUGGGGAGCAAACAGG
rnacentral:rRNA from 1 species